rnacentral:rRNA from 1 species
ACUCAAAGGAAUUGACGGGGACCCGCACAAGCGGUGGAGCAUGUGGCUUAAUUCGAUGCAACGCGAAGAACCUUACCUGGGCUUGACAUGUUAGUCGUAGAUUUGUGAAAGCUUAUCGUCACUUCGGGUGGACUAUCACAGGUGCUGCAUGGCUGUCGUCAGCUCGUGUCGUGAGAUGUUGGGUUAAGUCCCGUAACGAGCGCAACCCCUAUGAACUGUUGCCAGCGGGUAAUGCCGGGGACUCUGUUCAGACUGCCCAGAUUAACUGGGAGGAAGGAGGGGAUGACGUCAAGUCAGUAUGGCCCUUACGCCCAGGGCUGCACACGUGCUACAAUGUCCAGUACAAUGUGAACCGAGACCGCGAGGUGGAGGAAAUCUAUAAAACUGGGCUCAGUUCGGAUUGUAGGCUGCAACUCGCCUACAUGAAGUUGGAAUCGCUAGUAAUGGUACAUCAGCUACGGUACCGUGAAUACGUUCCCGGGUCUUGUACACACCGCCCGU